GACGAACGCUGGCGGCGUGCUUAACACAUGCAAGUCGAACGGAAAGGCCCUGCUUUUGUGGGGUGCUCGAGUGGCGAACGGGUGAGUAACACGUGAGUAACCUGCCCUUGACUUUGGGAUAACUUCAGGAAACUGGGGCUAAUACCGGAUAGGAGCUCCUGCUGCAUGGUGGGGGUUGGAAAGUUUCGGCGGUUGGGGAUGGACUCGCGGCUUAUCAGCUUGUUGGUGGGGUAGUGGCUUACCAAGGCUUUGACGGGUAGCCGGCCUGAGAGGGUGACCGGCCACAUUGGGACUGCGAUACGGCCCAGACUCCUACGGGAGGCAGAAGUGGGGAAUAUUGCACAAUGGGCGGAAGCCUGAUGCAGCAACGCCGCGUGCGGGAUGCCGGCCUUCGGGUUGUAAACCGCUUUCGCCUGUGACGAAGCGUGAGUGACGGUAAUGGGUAAAGAAGCACCGGCUAACUACGUG
rnacentral:rRNA from 1 species